rnacentral:rRNA from 1 species
GAUGAACGCUGGCGGCGUGCCUAAUACAUGCAAGUCGAGCGAGCAGAUGAGGAGCUUGCUCCUCUGACGUUAGCGGCGGACGGGUGAGUAACACGUGGAUAACCUACCUAUAAGACUGGGAUAACUUCGGGAAACCGGAGCUAAUACCGGAUAAUAUAUUGAACCGCAUGGUUCAAUAGUGAAAGACGGUUUUGCUGUCACUUAUAGAUGGAUCCGCGCCGCAUUAGCUAGUUGGUAAGGUAACGGCUUACCAAGGCAACGAUGCGUAGCCGACCUGAGAGGGUGAUCGGCCACACUGGAACUGGGACACGGUCCAGACUCCUACGGGAGGCAGCAGUAGGGAAUCUUCCGCAAUGGGCGAAAGCCUGACGGAGCAACGCCGCGUGAGUGAUGAAGGUCUUCGGAUCGUAAAACUCUGUUAUUAGGGAAGAACAAAUGUGUAAGUAACUAUGCACGUCUUGACGGUACCUAAUCAGAAAGCCACGGCUAACUACGUG